CGGUCCUUUAACGACCCCCUGCGGGUCCGUGCAGGCGCCCGCCCUCCCCGCGCCCUCCCCGCGGCUCGCACAGCCUCAGGCGUCCUCUCACCUGGAUGAGGAUCUUGCCAAGGCAGACGAAGGGUGUGCUGACCUCGGCCAUGAGCAGGCAGCCCAGGAAGUAGUCCCCCUUGCCCUGGCGCCACACCUGAGAGGAGAGGAAGGAAGCACGGCCUCGCCCUGGGCGCGUGGGCAGCGCCUGCUCCCCCUCCACCGCCUUUCAGAAGCUUCCUGCCGAGAGCCUGCACCCGCCCUCACCGCAUCCGCAGUCUUGUAGGUGAGACGGUGCGCGGUGGGUUACACAUGAGGAAACUGAGGCUCAGACACCGGCAGCCGCAGCAGCUCCAAGCCCCACCGCGGGGCGGGGCCCCGCCAGGCCGGCUGACCCAGGCCCUCUUGCUGCCGGGGGCCGGGCCGGAGCUCAGUACUCCCGCCUGGGGCCCUCCACCCUGGGCCUGCCCGCGCUGGAACCGGGCCCGGGCCCCAGGCUCCCCGCAGUGCGGCGUGCCCCGGACCGGACUCACCACGGAGAGCGGGAAGCACACCAGCACCAUGACGGCGUGGUGCAGCACCAUGAGGAACUCCUUGUGCAGGAGGUGGAGACGAUGUAGCCAGCGGUGGAGGCCAUGACAGCUUGGACAGAGGACACCAGCCUGGGGAGGGAGAAGCGGCAGCGGUAGCGGGAGCGGACACACCCCUGGGCUUCUCCCCUUUACUGUCCAGUUACGACGCCUUGGACGUGGUUACCUCUCAGGUCCCUCCCUGCCCACCUUCUCCCAGAGCUGCCUGUCCCAGGGCUCAGCGCCACCACCUCAGCUCCUGCCUUUGCCCAGCUGCCACUCCUCGGUUCCUCCCAUUCCUGGCUGCCAGCUUCCUUCCCUGGGCUGUGAACACAGAGUUGUCUUCCUCCCAGGACACCAGGGAGGUCAACCCUGGGGUUUAUUCUGCCUCUUCCUCUGCGACUUCACAGAACAGCCACGCUGCCGAGUCGGAAAGGACCUGGGAUUGGCUGAUUCAAGCCCCUCACUCAACCAUAAGGAACCCGGGGCCUAGUGACUUGGCCAAGGUCAGGCCGCAGGUCAGAAGCCCAGCCAGAACCAGACCGCUUUCUGCCUUCUGCCUUCCCACCACACACCCAACAGUCCUGUGGACUUCUGCAUGACGUGGGACCUGCUACCCGAACCUUUGCUCUCCAGGCCUGCCCUGUAAGGAGGCCAGCUGCAGGAGCCCUGGCCCCCGGAAGGAUGCCCUCACCCUGUCCUCUUACUUGGAUGCCACCAAAACGGCCUCUGGUCUGGGCAUCUGCAGGUCGGAGUGGUUCUGCAGGCCCCAGCAGAGGAGGGCGAAGACCAGCGGGAAGAAGAUGCAGCCCACCACGAAGAGCAGGGGCAUGCCUGUCUGCGGGGAGAAGGCGAGAAAAGCUGCCAUGAGAACGCCGCAGCAUCGUGUCCGCAGGCUCAGCGCUCCCCGGCACCUCAGGAGCUCUAACGGCCAUGGACUCCCUGCCUCGGUGACCAUCAGAAGCCACCGGCAUAGCUCCUCCCUAACCUCUGGGAUCCACAUUGUCCUUUAAAGACCUCUCACUCAAGGCAACUGGACAUGCUAUUUUUGGUUAUCAACCCAAUCCCAACAAUGUCAUUUUUCCUAUAAACCCUGAAGCUGAUCUGUA